rnacentral:lncRNA from 1 species
GGCUCUGGCAGUGUACUGUCUUAGUCUCUCUGGCUCCAGAGCUGUAAGCAGGAAGAUCGUGUCCCUCUUGCGGCAGUCAACCUUACCUUGAACAUCUUUUUCAGGUCCUUAACCAGUCAAGAUGCCCAUCCAUGUGGAUCAAAUGAUGCAGCUGCUUUGCCGUGUUUCUCGGGAGAAGGGAAUGAAAGCUGCUGUCAAGCACUCUGGUCAAGGAGCGCUCUUGGCAGGUGCAACUGCAUUUGUUGGGGGUUUGGUUGGAGGUCCACCUGGCAUCGCUGUAGGAGGAGCUCUUGGUGGACUGCUUGGUGCCUGGAUGACCAGUGAACAGUUCAAGCCAGUCUCUCAGAUUAUAAUGGAAUUGCCUCCUGCCGAGAAGCAGAAACUCUACAAGGAAGCCUUUGCAAUAGUCAAGAACUUAGACUGGAUUGAUGUUCUUGAACUGACUUUAUUUGUAAUGCAAAAUGCUGAUCUUAAGUUUCUGCUGGCAAAAACAGUUGAAAGAUUCUUCACCAGAGAGCUAAGUGCACAGAUAAAGUAUGGAGAAUAAACCUUUUGGGGCCCAGUUUUUAGAUGUUGUUGAAUUUUACUUUGACAAAUAUUCUCUGAUGUAGCAAUUAUUAGGAUUAGGAUUGUCAUUGUAGCUUUCAUUUCUCAGCUGAUUCUGGAUAUUCUGUUUUCAUUUAAAAAAAAAAAAAUCCUAAAAAGCAUCACAAAGGUCUCUGUUUUGCUUUAGAGGAAAUGAACUGAUUGAAGAAGUGGGCACUUUAUAUCUCAGCUGGUCGGUCACUCUUUAUUUCAAGGCAAUCAGGAAACUAUUUAUCAGGUUUGAUGUACACAGAACUUCUUGGGUGGAGGCAUGUACCUAUUUUCAGAGUGGUAGCAACAUGUUUGUGACAAGGUUUGCACCCUGUUUUGAAACAGUUGUGUGCAGCCCUGUUCUAUUUUGUUAAGAUCACCACAAUAUUUGCCUUUUAGGUUUAUCGGAGGAUUUGGGCAUUAAAUAACUGUUCAGCAGAUUUGAUCAUCCAAGGAACUGCUCAAGAAUGUAUUAAUAUCCCUCUGUUCCUCUUCUUUGGUACCGAUGUGCCUAUCCACCACUGUAUCCCUUGUUACUGGAAAGAGCUACAGGCAGGAGAUAGCAUCUAAUGAAAUCCAUCCAGUUGCACAGUGUCCAGGUUAAGGACGACAUAGAGCCAUCACCUAGGAAACAAGGUAAAGCAGUGCCAGCAGUUUUAGGAAGCAGCUAGAAUUGUCGCUGUGGGAAGAUGUACGUACUUAUAUAAAGAAUCCAUCUGUGAUGCUGGUUAUUAAUUUGGUUUGGUUGUAGAAGUGACAGAAUUACGCUUGAUUUUCACUGGCAGAUAGUGUAUUUUUAGAAUUUUUUUUCUAACUGUCUGGUUUAAAAAUGGAAAGCAAGCGUGACUAUAAAUAGUUAUGCUAGCAAGGAGAGACUAUUUUUAUUUACUUGCUUUAUUAUUUAAUAGCAAUCCCAAAUUCCAACAUAGAUUAGUAAUUGAGAUCUGCCAUCUAGUGGCAAGUAGAUUCGUUCUUAAAUUCAGCCUAUCAGGGCUGCCUCACAGCUAUGUUUUCCUGUGAAAAGUCAGGGUAAAUAGAAUUGUAUUGGAUUACAAAUGUCAGUCCACCUAUGACUAGAAUUCAUGUACAUUCCCCUGCAAAGAGGCUUUUUUAAAAUGAUUGUUAGCAUAAGUGAGCUGUGACUGCACAAAUUUUCACUGCAGCUGUAUGACAGUUUUCACUGUAGGAGAAAAUACGUAGUCAGCGAAAGGAGCAACAAAGCAAUGCAGAUACCAAAGGCUGGGCAGACUCUGAGAACCUCCCAGAACUUCUAUGCUGCACAUUGCCAGGUCAGUCAUCCAACAGGAACAGCGGUGCUAAGAAACUGUUUGAAACUGAGAGCCUCCCUUGACUGAAUGCUGCUUUGGAAAAUGCUUGUGGUGCAGCCCUCUUCUGUGCUCAGUGUUGUAAGACUUGUGCUUGUUUUCCCUUUUUGAAUUCUAGAAUAGCUCACAGGAGAUUCCAAUGUCUUUGCUAGGUUUGCUAAAUUUGUUCAGUUUGGUCCUCAAAAAAUCACAUAAAAUUUACUGACAGAAUCUGUAUUUGCACAGCAAAAAAAGCAAAAAAAACCAAGCUCUUUUACUGCUAAAAUCAAAAUCAGUUCAAACAGGCAACAAGUUUAACAAACAGGGAUGGCAGGAGCUAGAUGAAUGACAGGCGUUAAGUUGUGUGCUGGAGAGCUGCUUAAAUCUUCACUGACUUCCUCUAACUCUGAAUGAGCUAAUUUAUAUAUUAUUUAGUUAAUAACAUAUGGAGAAGGUGACACCACCCAGUAAACUCAGGGUGCUCUAAUCCCUUUGUUUAAUAUGACUUGUGUUUUUCACAUCACGAGGACACUGGAGUAUCAUCUUCACUUAACCUUAAGUAGGUACAAUGACUAUUUAAAUGUCAACAUAUAAUUUAUCAUAAAUGUGUCAUAUUUUUGUUCUUGCCAAAGCAGAUUCCAGUCCCCAAAAGCUGACACACCACAGAGUUUAUUACCCUACUACCUAGUUAACAGAGAACAAAUAUCUUCCAUAUCAAAUAGUGAGAUUCCAACCCAGACCGUUCUAUGACCCUGUGACUCUAUAACUUAGGACACAAGAUGAUGAUUUACUGAUCUUGAGUUUACAGCUGGAAAUGAGAACCUAGGCAGCAAUUUCAGUCUGCACACAAGGUAGAGCUGUUCUGAACCUCAAAGCUGAGGUUCUGCAGGGUAUGUGUGUCCCCACAGAGGAGGGUCUGGUGGCUCUUAGCUCUGAUUGCCAUGUCAGCCAUAAGCUUUUACUCUGGUAUGCAAAGUAACACAGAUCAGCAUUAUGUUGUCAGUUUUCUAAGGACAGGUCCCUGUUCUUCCAGGAUUGCACACCUGCAGCUAUGCGGGGCUUUGCUGGUGAAGAAUAUGCACAAACCUGAGUCUCCAUCUUUCUUUCAAAUGCAACUUGUGAGCUGCUGACAGGAAGGGGUGCAGUAUAUCUGUCUGUAUAGGGUUUCUGACCUUCUGGGGGGAAAAAUAGUAGCUGUGUUUCCUCUAGAUGCAAGGUGCUUCCCUGCCUGUGCUGUAAUUACCUUCUGACUUUGAACAAAAGAGUGAUUUGGAGAGGUGUUGUGCUGGUUGACUUAGGGCAGCUUAAGGAAGCUGAUUAAUCUGCUACGGCAAUAAUUUGCUGGAUGAUUUGGUCAGUAAUUCAGCUCCCCCAGUGAGAUGCUUCGAGGUGAGAUGGCAGUGACAAUACCAAGCUCCUGGCUGUGAGACGUGACAAUUACCUAUAGUAAAAAUGGUGUGUGAAAGAUAAGCGUUGAGUUAUUAUUUAUUAUUACUUGACUAUUUCUUACCAUGUUGUUUGAGAUUUUUCUAGUGGUGCGAUACCUUCUACCAUAGUCUGAUUAUUGGCCACUGUGCUCUAGCAGAACUGCAUUUCCCUUUUACAGUUCACAUUUCAGUGCUCCUGCUGUACAUGCUUCAGUACAUCAUGACAUGGGUGAGUUGGAAUGGCUGCUUUCUCCUGUUCCUGAUAACACCCAUCUCUCUCUUAGGGAGGAAAGUCCAUGCUCCAGAGGACUCAGGUGUGCUAGGUUAGCUUUCCUUUGGAAGAGAAAUUCUAUUAAAUACACAUAACAUAAAAGCCACUGAGUUCAUAUUUCUUUCAGAUAACAGCUAUUUGGUGCUUGAAACCCAGUGACUAAGCGACAAUGGUU